AGGAUCUGGCAUUGCCACAAGCUGCAGUGUAUGUCACAGACAUAGCUUGGAUCUGGCGAUGCUGUGGCCUAAGCCGGCAUCUGUAGCUCUGAUUCAACCCCUAGCCUGGGAACUUCCAUAUGCUGCACUUGUGGAUCUAAAAAAUCAAAAACAAAAACACAAAAGAAAAAGUAAAAAGAGUACCAGGCAAAUGUGAUGAAUUACAAAUAUACGGCUGCACGUGAGAAUGGAGGUUGCGCAAGAAGGUUGAAAUAUAGGUUGGGGUCAUAGAAUGAGAGUUCUAUGUGUAGGCUAAGUAAUUGGUUAUUUAUUCUAAGCACUAGGAGUGAAUGUUUUACAGCCAGAGAAUGAAUGGCGAUAACUCUAGCAGUCAUAUGUAGUAUUGAUUAGAGACGGAGACCAGUUAGGUGACCCCUGUAAUAUGUAGACCAGCCGUGAAGAGGGUUGGCGUUAAGUUAGCAGUCAGAAAAGAAAGAGGAAGGUCUAUGCAAUAGACAUUUGGAUAUGAUUCAAAUUUUGUAAGUACUUGGGAUCCUUCAUAGACCACAUAAAUACAGGUGUAUUAUAAUACUUUUACCAUGGUUCGAUAUGCAGAACAGUUUGUGUUAGGAAUGAAAUUUUAUUCAAAGGAAGAGAAACACUAUAAUAACUUACCAUUAAAAUAAAAAUUUAAAAACCUUCACCAAAUUGCAUGUGGUUAGGAACAACAGGAUGUGUGUAGAGUGAAAAACAUCUUGAAUAAUUACACAUUAUGAUGCUUUGGGCAAGUUUUUCAAUCUCUGAGUCUUAGCAUUCACAAAUUUAAGGGUAUUGGGCAAAGUAAUGCCAACUGUUGUAAUUCAAUAUAUCCUUUGCACUAAUUAUUUUUUAAUUAAACAGAAUAUUCUUUUUUUUAUUUUGCGUUUUAGGGCCGCACCUGAGGCAUGUGGAGGUUCCAAGGCCAGGGGUCUAGUCAGAGCUACAACUGCUGGCCUACAGCUCAGCCAUAGCAAUUCAGAAUCCAAGCCACACCUGUGACCUACACUACAGCUCAGGGCAAUGCCGGCUCCCUUAACCCACUGAGCAAGGCCAGGGAUCAAACCCUCAACCUCAUGGUUCCUAGUCGGAUUCGUUUCCAUUGUGCCGUGAUGGCAACUCCAGACAGAAUAUGCUAAAUGAAAGUAUUUUCCUAAAAAGUAUAGAAUUAAAACAUAUUCAAUAGGAUAAUUGCCCCUAAUGAUGACAUUGUGACAAUUUGUGCAUCUAAUAUUUAAGUUGUCCCUUGGGUUUAUAACUCAGAUACACCCAGGUUUACACACAUUUCUAAAGGGAUUAUAAAACAGAUCUAGGAGUUUUUAUAUUUCAACUUUUACUGCUCAGUUUUAUGGUUAGAUAUAUUUCAUGAAAAGCUUUGCCCUUUGGAUCAAUAAUGUGCUUACAACAUUAAUAAAUAAUGAAAAUAACCAUUAAACAAGACAACCAUAUUAAGCAAUUUAUAAAUAACCACUUUAAAGCUGUAGCUGAGUAAUUGAUUAUGACAUGAACUACUUUUUACCUUUAAAAUACUUUGUCCCCUAAAAAAGACUGCAGUUCUCAUAAAAACAAAAAAUAUGUGUUUUUCAAAUUAUUUAUUAUAUAGAAGUUUGCAGAAAUUUUAGGAUGUAAAUGAUUAGAUCAUCAAGGCAUUAUUGACUUUCUCUGAUAUAUGACCUAUUUGAGGCUAGUGUAGUAUCAGGCCUGUUAGAAGAAUCCAAUUUAAGGAAAAUGAGACAAGUAAAUAGAAAAUUUGUGUAUUGGGGGACAUUUUCUGAGACUUACAUCUAAAAUAAAUAAUCACAAGAACUUAAACAUGUAAGAAGUAGAUCUGAUUUAUACGAAAAGCCCCAGCGUCAGAUUUAUUCUUUAUCAAAUUACUGUGUUAAAUCAAAUUUCACAGCCAAAUUAAAAAUGCAGCUAGCCAUCCCAUCAGGUAUAAUGAACUAUGGAAGAGAAAAAUAGGUCAAUAUAUGUCUAUUUUAAAAUUUCUCACAAGUUAUGUUAUUUUUCCCUACCCUUCCUGUUUCUUUAAGGAUGCUGUUUAUUUCUACACUGGUUUCAACAUUUAAAAUACCCUACUCUGUCCAAUUGGUAUACACAGCAGUCCCUCCCCUCCCUCGCUCCAGAGUCUCCAGAAUGGAAAUAGAUGUAGCUAUUUGGAUUGUAUAUACAAUACUAAAUACCUAGAGACAUCUGGGUGACUGACCAAAUAUUUCUGUUUUCAGCCAGGUGCAGGGAAUAUGGUAAACAGUUUAAAAUUGAUUGUGUUUAAAAUGCAUUAAUACCUACAUUAUUUAUUGAGUAUACUCAUUCAGUUUCUAGAGCCAAAUGAUGGUUGAUAUAUACUUUUACUCCAAGUAUUUAUCAUACACUCCCUUUGACCCUGUUAUUUCUCCUUCUUGGAUUUGGCUGUUAGAGCCACCAUUGUGAUGGGCCUGGGGAUGGACUUGUCAAAGAACCUGGGUGAGCAGGGACAGGCAUGUCUCCCUCCUUCCCCAUGUGACAUAAAAUAGCUUCUGUUUGGGGAAGGAGAGAAGGAAUUCUACACAGAGUUAGAAGAAGACAUCCUGUCUUCCCCUCCAUAACAGCCUUCUUCACCCACAGAUGAAGUCUGAAGGGAAGGAUGAAAUUAUAUGGUAUCUUCUUAAAUUGGGGGGUCAGAAACUUAAGAGAAUCUAUGUCCUAUUUCCUCUAUGGAGACUAAAGAGAUGACAGGCUUCAGAGCAAAGUCCCACAUGUUGUCAUGAUGUUUUAGCUACAGAAGAGAAAGGAUAUGCUAUGGUCUGAUGGUUUGUGUCCCUUCCAAAUUUACAUAUUAAAAUCUAACCCUCAAGGUGAUGGUAUUUUGGGGGGUGGUUAGGGGAUGAUCAAGUCAAGGUGCCUCCUUCCUUCAGCCAUGUGAGGGCACAAUGACAAGUCAGUGGUCUGCAACUGGAUGAGGGCUCUCAUCAGAACAGGACCAUGCAGUCACCCUGAUCUUGGACUUCCAGCCUCCAGAACUGGGAGAAAUAAAUUUCAGUGUAGAAGACAUCCAGUUUAUAGUGUUUUGUUAUAGUAGCCUGAACAAAGACCACUAUUGUGGCAUAUCUAGGCACUAGAGGGUCAAAGACCACCCUUCUGAAUUUCCUGUUCUUCAGAAUGACAUGGGAAGGUGCUCCAAGGUUUGACAGUCCCUACGGGGAACUGCUUUGCUCUCAACCGGUUGCCAGCAGGAAUUGGAACAUGACCAGAUACUAAAUGGGACAAGUUACAGCCAGAGCAAGGGCUAAUUUUACACCUAUUAAGCAGAGCUAUUUCAUUAUUUUGAGGUAGAGGUUCUUUCCCUAGCCAUGGCUAAGUAUUAUUUGCAUAAAUAUUCUUACUUCCCUAUUCAAAGCUUAACGGUUUAACAUCAAUCCCAUGGAAAGUCUUGAGAAAGUUCAUUUUAUAACCAAGGUAACUUAGGUAUCUCUGAAAUUUUCAGAAUUUCCUAGCAAUAGGUGGAUAACAUCAAACACAAUGGGGCUUAAGUUAGAUAUUAUAUUCCUUUGUAGAAUAAAUGAAAACAUUUAUAAAUUUGCAUGUCCGUUAUUACCAUGAAUUUCACAUUCGCCACAAAACUGGACAUAUGAAACAGUGAACACAUUUAAUGUUUUGUAAUUUUAUCUUUGCAUCAUUAGAUGCACAAAUCCAUUUGUGGCUGAAAAAAAGUGCUAUAUGAGGUUGUUUAUUUUAUAUAGUAUUUGUGAAUUUGCUUUAUUGAUAAACUGUGUGGAUAUUUGGAGAAGAACCUGUUAAAUCACAAGUCCAAAAUUUAUUGUCUUAUGAAGGGGGUUGACCUAGAGAAAAUUAGCAAAUUUUUCUGAGACUAUG
rnacentral:lncRNA from 1 species